CCUACGGGUGGCAGCAGUGGGGGAUAUUGCACAAUGGGGGGAACCCUGAUGCAGCGACGCCGCGUGGGUGAAGGAGCGUUUCGGCGCGUAAAGCUCUAUCAGCAGGGAAGAAAAUGACGGUACCUGACUAAGAAGCCCCGGCGAACUACGUGCCAGCAGCCGCGGUAAUACGUCGGGGGCAAGCGUGAUCCGGAUUUAAUGGGUGUAAAGGGAGCGUAGACGGCCAGACAAGUCAGAAGUGAAAGCCCAGGGCUCAACCCUGGGACUGCUUUUGAAACUGGCGGGCGGGAGUGCAGGAGAGGUAAGCGGAAUUCCUGGUGUAGCGGUGAAAUGCGUAGAUAUUAGGAGGAACACCAGUGGCGAAGGCCGCUUACUGGACUGUAACUGACGUUGAGGCUCGAAAGCGUGGGGAGCAAACAGGAUUAGAUACCCCUGUAGUC
rnacentral:rRNA from 1 species